rnacentral:rRNA from 1 species
CGAGUGGCGGACGGGUGAGUAAUGUCUGGGAAACUGCCCGAUGGAGGGGGAUAACUACUGGAAACGGUAGCUAAUACCGCAUAACGUCGCAAGACCAAAGAGGGGGACCUUAGGGCCUCUUGCCAUCGGAUGUGCCCAGAUGGGAUUAGCUAGUAGGUGGGGUAACGGCUCACCUAGGCGACGAUCCCUAGCUGGUCUGAGAGGAUGACCAGCCACACUGGAACUGAGACACGGUCCAA